rnacentral:miRNA from 1 species
UGUGUGUGUGUGUGUGUGUGUGUGUGUGCACGCACGCACGCACGCACACGCACACACA